AGCCACUGCGGUGGAAGGCGG
rnacentral:misc_RNA from 1 species